rnacentral:rRNA from 1 species
UACGGGGGGGCAAGCGUUGUUCGGAAUCACUGGGCGUAAAGGGUGCGUAGGCGGGUCUUAAGUCAGGGGUGAAAUCCUGGAGCUCAACUCCAGAACUGCCUUUGAUACUGAGGAUCUUGAGUUCGGGAGAGGUGAGUGGAACUGCGAGUGUAGAGGUGAAAUUCGUAGAUAUUCGCAAGAACACCAGUGGCGAAGGCGGCUCACUGGCCCGAUACUGACGCUGAGGCACGAAAGCGUGGGGAGCAAACAGG